UGGGACUUUGGAAAGCGACGAUUUGGCCAAAUGAAAUUUUAAAAAGGGUUUUUAAAUAUGAAAAACGGAGUCGCCACUUGGUAUAGAUUUGGGGUGUACCAAGUCACCCAAAAAAGUGUUUUUUAAAGACAAAGUAGUAAAACCCUUUUUAAAACGACUCCUAGUCCACGUAAGCCAAAGAAAAAGGUUCGGGGGUCACGUUUGACAAAGGGGAAGGCAAGGAUAAAAAUCCAAGGCACCCCUUCGACCUAACCAAGGCUAGUUGCGUGACUUAAACCAAUUUUUCCUAAUUUUUCUACCCAUGGUAUGUAUCGCAUAUUGGAUAUGUCUAUAUGAAUGCAAAACCCUAGACCUAGGGGGAUUGGGGGAAAUUUCUCUUCAAAGGUUGAGUGGUGCCAAUCACAUUAAUUGUGAAGCCCAAUAAUGAUCCUUUUGGAGAGGUCACACCUAAACCUAAAUGACGUGAAAAAUGAGUGGAAUGCAUGCCAUGUGAAAGUGUGAGUUUGUGUGAAAUGAGAAAAAUGAUAAAAGUAAUAAGAUAUAAGUGAAGGUGUGCGAAUGUAGAUGAAAGUACUCGUGUGCGAGUGAAGAUAAAAAUGCUCGUGUGCAAGUGAAGAUAAAAAAGUGUUCGUGUGCAAGUGGAGAUAAAAGAGUAUUCGUGUGCAGGUGAAAGUGAUAAAAAGGUGCAUGUGUGCAAAUGAGACAAAAGUGAAAGUGUGAUGAUAGAGUGGAUUGAGAAUGCAUGAGCCUAGGGAAUGCAAGCAAGAUGGGUACGGGGAGACCUAAAUCGUGACUCAAUUUGCCCUUUGAUAGAGGGAAUACAAGCGUGCUAAGGCUUAGAAAAAGGCACACUCGUCUAUAUCCCAUAUUUAAGGGGACUCUUCAGGCAAAUGUACCCUAACUAGCAUGAGAUGCAAAAAUCCUAAAAUGAGGGAAAAGGGGCUCGAGGAGCAUGCCAAAUGAUAAAGCUAAGAAAAAUGCGUGAUAUGUGGUGAACAAGCAAAUGAUGUGCUAACGAGGGGAAAUACCUAAUGAGCCACAACUAGCAUUGGACUAGUGUGGUGACGUACAUUCAUCCAUCACAUUCAUUCAUGCUAUAGAAAGCGAGUAGACAUGCCAAACACGUAUAAACACAUAGCACAUAACAUUUAGCAUGCUCGACUAGAUGCGAGGCCCUAUCAAAGCAAUUAAACAUGUAGCAACAAAAACAAGCAAACAAGGGGAAGGGGAAAAUGAACCAGAUGCUCUCCGAGCCCUAUCUAUUACAAGCCAAGAGGUGUACACAUACCCCAUAAAAGCAUAAAGGGGAAGGGGAAAUGGACAAGAUGCUCUCCGAGCCCUAUCUAUUACAAGCCAAGAGGUGUACACAUACCCCAUGAAAAUUUAAAUAAAAGUAAAAGCAAGUAAAUGCAUGCAAGGAGGUAAGGAAAGCGGAGUAGACAGGCAUAUUCACAUAACACAUAAGAUCACAUAGGAGAGACAAAAAGGGAUAAAAUAAAUUGUACCUCCCCCCGUGUGUAAUGCUAGUAAGGUGAACAAGACUCAACUUGGGCUAUAGUUGCUAAAGAAGGAACUAAUUUGGGCUAAAACCAUUAAACAGAGGAUUAAUGCACCAAUUUAAUAGUAAAUCAAACAACACAAAUUCUUCGAAAACAAAACUUAAGGAACCACUAGUGGCUAUAAAAUUUAACCAUUAAGUUCUUCAAAUAAUCAAACAAAUCCAUACUCAUCAAAUGGACUUCCAAUUUGAACAUUAAAGAAAAUUUGAAGGACCAAAUUGAUUAAUCUUUCCAAUUUCCUAGGCCAUAGUACAACAAAAGAACUUGAGGGGGUUAAAAGGCAAUUUUUUGAAAAGACUUCCAUGCAUGCAUACGAGACAAUUCAGCUUCUGCAACAACAAGAAGAUUUCGACAGCUAAGCUAGCUCAUCCGCAGCUUCAUCCAUGAAACUUUGGCUAACCAAACAUUAAACUAAUUCUAAUUAAAGCAUACUUAAACAUCACCUAAUCAAAGUAGCUCUUAAAAGAAUUUCUUGCAAACUUAUGUAACAAAGAACUCCUGCCAAAAAUAAAAAAACUGCUGCACUUCUGUUUGCAAACCAACUCAAAGAUUACUGCAUUUUUAUCUUCGACCAGAUUUAGGCAGAGAACUAACGCAGCUUUUGGACACAUUCUAUCAAACAAUACUCAAACUUUGAGUCAAGCAACACAACACACAACUUGGCAUUCAAACAAGUAAAAAACAAAACACUUGGAAAAAAAUGCAGGCAUACGAAGCUUUUCUUAUUUCUGCUAGUUUCUUUAUUUAUAACAGGUUUGGGCUUUCAAACAUGCAGUUUCAAUCCCUCCUAACACAACUAACAUCUCCGCUAACCAAACGUUCAGAUUAAACAGCAAGACAGACAAACUUUCUUUUUAUUUCUGAACAUAAAAACUAGAGAGCAAGAGCAUUCAAAUCUAGCCAACCGAACUUCUGAAAAGGGAAAAAACGUAAAAGCAGGAUAACACAAAGAAUCGCUUCAACAUUCUGCAAAACUCAAUACUUCCCUCCUUACCCAAAGCUGGACCCAAAAUAAGUAGAAGCAAAGAGCCUAGAUACACACAGAACUGGUAUUGCCUAUGAACACCAAGUUCUGCAAACCCAUCCUUCGACUGAAUAAAAUUUCAAACAGAUCAAAAGGACGACAGCUACAAACAACGGACAUAACAUACCGCAAGCAUCGUGCAGACUUGCUGCAAUUUCAACCGACCACAUGCGAGUCUAUUAGCUAACCCCCACAAGAAUCUCGACCCAACAAAAGCACCACAUAUCACUACAAAGAUCAGAGAUUCAACAAUCCUUCUCCUUCUCACCAGAUACCCAAGGCAAAACAGAUAACUUUUGUCAAGUUUUCAUUUUUCGGUAGUAACUCUACCAAACAUGCAAUCCAGAAACCAAAUAAGAAACUAAUGAAAACCCAACAACAUCCGAGUCCCAAAACACAAACCACACAUCGACAAACAACCCAGCAAAUGACCCCAAUCUCUUUGUUUGCCAAGCUUGCAUCCUCGUAGGAAUCGUAUAAAACUAGCCAGAGGAAACGCUAGAGUUACCUGAAGAUGUUAGCGUGAUCGAAUGAGGGCGAUGUGCUUCUAACAAGUCGCAGGUACCGCUGAACGAGGCUCAGAAAUUCUGCUGAAACUUCAAAUCUGGGUUCCUCCUCCACGAAGCUUUCUUGGUUCUCUCUAUUUUGUUCAGCCGAACACCUCCAUUUGUUCUCCUUCGUCUCUCCGUGGCCCUUUUCUUGGUUGCGGCUGCUAUGCUCACUCUAGCUCUCCAGAAUUUCUUUCGGCCGUUCCUUCACUCCUCUCUCUUGCUCUCGGCUUCAGUCCCUACUAAACCUUUUCCUCGUUUUCCUUUUCUCUUUCAAGCUCACACAGAAACUCCACCCUCUCCCUCGUUCUCUCUUGCUUUUUCCGUUUCUUUCUUUUCCCGUAAGCCUUUAUCUCUCUCCCCCAAAACCUUCGCUCCGUUUUUCUGUUUUUCCGUCGAUGGUCUCCCCCCCCAAAAAACCUCCUUGUGCGGCUGUAGCUUUCUUUUCUCUUUUAUACCAGGAACACUCUACCCUAAACCCUCAGCCAUUCUCUAAAAUUUGCAGCUAAGGAGCUACCCAGCCCCCUAUUUGCAAGCUGCGUAAAAAACGCAGCUUGCAUGCCGUGACCCUUUUUUUUUUUUUUUUUUUUUUUAAAAAAAAAUAUUUAACAAAACCAAAAUGAUAAUAAUAAUAACAAUAAUAAUAACAAAACCCACUUAAUUAAUCAUUGGAUAAAAUAAACAAACUAGAAACAACAAAAAUGCAAUUUUUCAUUUACCAUUUUCAUCAUUUUUCCCUCUUUCUUUAAUUUUCUUUUCUCCUUUUUUUUUGUGAUUUUUCAUUUUCAUUUUUCUUCCAAGAAAGCUUUGAAUAAAAACAAAAUGACUAAAACAUAUUUUUGAUGUUUUCCUUUUCUUUUUUUCUAAAAAAAACUCUAUGCUAAUUUUAAACUUAAAAGCUAAAACUAAAAAUUAAAACUAAAAGUAAACAACGAAUGCGAGCAAUCUAAAAUGAAAAUCAUGAAAUAGAUGCCACAUAAAAUUAUUCAAAAUUUGGUGUCUACAGUUUGCCCCUCUUUGUCUGAGUUUUGAAAAAACUUGAGACAAAGAAGUAGACACCAAAUUCUUACCAGUGUUAUUUGGUUGCAAAAAUGAUCUGAACGGACAGGAAUUCUAAAAUGGGACUAACCCAAACAUUAAAAAAAUGGGGAUAGACCCACGGGAUAGACCCGGACAGAAAUGUAAAAUUGAGAUAGACCCACGGGAUAGACCCGGAUAGACCCACGGGAUAGACCCGGACAGAAAUUUAAAAUUGGGAUAGACCCACGGGAUAGACCCACGGGAUAGAUCCGGACAGAAAUUUAAAAUUGGGAUAGACCCACGGGAUAGACCCGGACAGAAAUGUAAAUUCUGGGAUUAGGACCCCACGGAUAGAACCGGUACGAAAUUUAAAAUUGAUAGACCCGGAAUAGACCCACGGUAGGACUCCGGACAAAAGUACAAAUUGGAUAGACCCACGGUAUGACCGGACAGGAAGAAUGUAAAAUUGCGGAUAUAGGACCCACGGGAUAUUAGACCCGGACUAAAAUUAAAUUGGGAUAGACCCACGGGAUAGACCCGGAUAGCAUUAAAAUUGGGAUAGACAAUUUAAAAUUGGGAUAGACCCACGGGAUAGACCCGGACUGCAAUGUAAAUUUGGGAUAGACCCACGGGAUAGACCCGGACAGAAAUUUUGGGAUAGACCCAUUGGGAUAGACCCACGGGAUAGACCCGGACAGAAAUUAAAAUUGGGAUAGACCCACGGGAUAGACCCGGACAGAAAUGUAAAAUUGGGAUAGACCCAGACAGAAAUUUAAAAUUGGGAUAGACCCACGGGAUAGACCCGGACAGAAAUAUAAAUUGGGAUAGACCCACGGGAUAGACCCGGACAGAUAUGUAAGUUGGAUUUGAUCUGUCAAGAUAUAAGAAAUUAAAUUUUGAUUUUCCAAGAAACAAAAAUUUGAACUUGAUUUUCGAUUUUUGACUUUUGAAUUUUUCUGAUUUUUCGAGAGAAUCUUUUCCAAAAAUAAUUUGCCCCAGUGUAGGGCCCUUUUCCCUUCUUUCUUCUCUUUCUUCGGCAUCGGCCUUCUACAUCGUCAGAUGCUUUUCGUCGACUUCAACUGUGAAUACCUGCACAGGGCUUACGUGCACUCAAAUGAGCGUGACUGAUUUGAAAAAUGCAUUAUUUUGAUUCUUGGACGAAAUCCUCAAUUGGACUACAAAAAUAUUUGCCCCUGUGUGGGCUUAUUUUGCAAAAUUUUGCAAAUAAAAAUUUUGCCCCAGUUUGGGCCCAUUUGAUUGCAAAAAUUGGUUUAGAUGAUUUCCCAUUUACUUGAACAAAGAAAAACCGCACUUUCUAAAAUUUAGAAAAGAGUGCACAUAUAACAAUGUGAAGAAACUUUAAUCGUCAAGUUUGAACUCAUGCAGAAAUUUCAUGAUGAAUUCCUCAAAAUAAUGCCAAAUUACAAGAUAUUUCUUCCUUACCUUAGCAUCGAAGCUUUGGGUAAUGGGCGUUAUUUCUGACUUGGAAAUGGGAGGCCAAGAUUUGUCUUAUUCAUGUGCUCAGAUGGUAUGUAACCCCUUCUAUACCACAUCUUGGUGAAAGCAAAGAGUUUAUCAUCCUUAUUUCUUAAGAAAACAUAGUCCACAUACGAGCUUUAUAGGCUUGCAAUAACACGGAUGGAAACGAUAGCUAAAACAUGAAAAAACUGGUUGUUCCCUUAUGAUCACAAAUGAUUGAUGGAUUUCUUACGAGCAUAGUCGUCACUUUGGAUUGUCAUGAAGGAAUAAGUCAACGAUGGACUUUAUGAGCUUGUAAUGUGGCUUGAAAACGAUAGCUAAAGAAUAAAACUUUCAAGAACAUUACACCACAGAUCGCAUUUUUCAACAUUGCCUUCAUCUGGACUCCAGAUUCUUGGACUUUGUUUGACUUUUUAUCAUCACCCAACAGGGUCUUUCAACAUCAAAUCUUUUUGCAUCUUUCUUUUGCAUUCAUUUCGCUCGUUUUUCUUUUCUUUUUCCCUCUUUUCAGAAAUACCUUCUCGGGGUUUCAUAUGAAGAGCAGUGUCAACCUCACGCCAAAUCAAUUCAGAAAUACAGCUAAAAUUUUCGACAUCAGAAAUUUUCUUAACAGGGCCAUUGCUAAGAACAGAAGUCAGGGCUUUCGGCUUUUGUAAUGGGGUCAGGUGGGGUGCUUAGAAAAGUUAAGGCUUGAAAACGGAUUUCAAAGUGGUUUGAAAAAUCCGAGAUCGCAUUGUUGCGCCAACCCUAUUUCAAGGUUAAAUCAAAAUCUGCCUCAGUUUUUGCUCAAUUGAGGCUUUUCACUUUCAUUUUUCUUUUUCCUUUUGACUUUUCGGCCUUUUUGCCAUUCUUUGAAAUUUCACAAAAUUUGCCCCAGUUUACUUUUGAACUGAGGUUCUCUUUUCUUCUUUUGCCUUUUGAUUUUGUGGGUUUUCACAUUUUCGCUUCUUGAAAUUUUCUUUUUCAACCCAACUUGCCCCAGUGUGGGGUUUGCGAUUCUCAGGGGGUGCCAAAUGAAGUAUUUUAUUCUGAAGGCUCAAAAGGGAUAACUAGGGAUAAAAUGUUCGAUUGGAAAAGAAGAUGGCCUGACUUGUAUUCCGUUCCUUACAAUAACUCUGAAAGGAAACUUUCAUUAAUGACGAAAUUUCUCGCAUGUAUUUGAAUUAAUUGACUGAGGAAGACGCCUGUGAAGCAUAGAUGAUCCACCAGAUGAAAUUCUUCCUUUUCUUUUCUCAACAUUGGAACCCAAGUGGAAUCAAAUUUCCAAUUUGCGGUUCUCUCCCUUUUAGCCUUAGCAUUUUGGCUUUUCUCUCUCUUUUGGAAAAUUCUCCAAUCUUCUUCCCCAGUGUGGGGGCGAUCAUAAGUGCUUUGAAAAGAACCAGUAAUUUUGGCUCAAAUGAGGAUGCAAGGGAUAAAGCAGUGUUUAAAUGGUAGAAACGAUGGCCAAAGCAUCAUUCUUACGUUUCAUGACAAACCAAAGUAAAGAAACACUCAUUGAGAAUCCAUUCCCCCUUUUGACAUUCGAAAAAUUUUCCCAUGUAGGGUUGUGAUCAUCAAGGCGCUUAUUUGAAACGAAGUUAUUCUUUUAAAGACUCAAACGGGAGAGCAAAUGAUAAAAUCUGUAUGGGUAGAGAAACGAAUGCUCAAAGUAUCAUUCCAAAAUUUCAAAACAAAUAAGAAUAAUGCACCCUUUCGCUUUCACUUAGAUGUGAUUUGAGUCUAAUUAGACACUAUGGACAUCUUUCCAAGUAAAGGUUGCCCCAAUGGGGUCAAUAGAAGUGGCAAAACACGAAUUGUUCAGCGAAGGAGAAAAGGUAUCUCAUUGGGCCUUUUGAAGGACCUCUCUUAUUUUUGAGCACUUUUAUUGUACAGCUCGGAUCACCAACCUGGUAUGCAUGAAAAUUGUAGAGAGUAUACACUUGUGAAUCCUCAGACUGAGGUUGGAAAAAAUCUCAAUUUGGUUUUAUUUCUCAAAAUUCAUCAUGAACUCUCCAAUGAGUAAGAAUAAAGAAUGAAAUGUACAUGAAUAUAAAAAACAAUAAUUGUCCAAAAAUUUUAUUGCUGAAAAAGUUUGAAACAAAAUUUCUCAUUCAAUUUACGAUACAAAUGAGAAGAGAGAAACUUGUAAAGAGCUCCACAUAUACACUUUUUGGAACAAAAUGUAUUAACAAAUCAAAUAUACAAAAUUUUCCUUUGGAAAACAAUUACAACAUCUCUUAGAGGCUUUAGCGUAGAGCUUCCGGAUAGAUCAUUUAUGUUUUCAUUAUAGGACCUGCCCAAGAAUCAAAUGAUACUUUCUGAACUUUAUCGGAUCAAAAAUUGUUAUCCAAUAUAGGGAAAUAUUUUCACCUUAUUGAAACAUUUUUAUGAAUGCAGGGGAGGGGGAAAAAAAGAAAAAUACCCCGAGUUAGUAGGCAAAACUGCAAAAUCGGUAUGCAUGUCCUAUGGGGGAGCCCUUUUGUGCCAAGGGUAGGCCUAGCAUGAAAAUGCAAUCCUCCAGAGCAGGCACUAUACCAUACCUGAUGGAUCUGAUCAACUCAUUGAGUGAAAAAAAUAAUUUGAAAAAUUUGGCCCAUUGGAAUGAGAAAAGACGUUGGUCAAAAUAAGGACCUCGUCCGAAGGGAUUGAUCACUUUUGAUCGAUACAAGAAUUUGCAAAAACGCACGGGUUUGACCUUGACGAACUUCCUAUCGAAGAGAUUGGAAUUCGUUUUGACAACUUUUCUCAGUGAAGCACAGGUCAAAACUCCAACUGAUCAAAUGGCUGGAUGCAACGGAUGUUUUUCUCAAAAUCGACUAGGUUUUUCAUUUUUGAAAUUCGACAUUGAAACCCUAAUUGGUCAAAUGAAAUUGACAAUUUAUUAAAAAUCGACCGGAUUACCCUAAAAAGGGAAACAGGUCAAAUGAAUGGAAUGAAAUUUAAUUUAUCCAAAAUUAAUCAGAUCACCCUAAAAAGGGUAAAUUGAUCAACUAGACUGAACGAAACUUGAUUUAUUCAAAAUCGGCUCGGUUGCCCUAAAAAUGGGUAAAUUGGCCAAAUGAAUGAAAUUGAACUAGUGAUUUAUUCAAAAAUCGGCCGAAUGACCCUAAAAAGGGUAAAUUGGUCAAAAGACCCUAAAAAGGGUAGAAUGGUCAAAUGAAUUGAUGAUUUAUUCAAAAAUCGACCAAGUGACCCUAAAAAGAGUAAGUUGAUCAAAUGAAUUGAUGAUUUAUUCAAAAAUCGACCAGGUGACCCUAAAAAGGGUAAAUUGGUCAAAUGAAAUGAUGAUUUAUUGAAUGAAUUGGCAAAAUGGAUUGGUUGAAUUGUCUGGCCAAUGAUUAUUUCAAAAUUAUUGAGGUGCAUUAGCCUAUGAGCUUCUAAAAAUCAUAUUUUGGCCUCAAUUUAUUUAUCGUCCCAAUAGGAGGAAUCACUUGUGAAUUUCUUCAAAUUAAUGUCCUUCACGCAAGGGAUUUUUACCAAUUUUUGAUAAAAUGGCCAAAAAGUGAUUAUUAGAUGCUCAUAUUCCAAAAAUCACUCUAUUGAAAAUGAUCGGAUCCUACCUUACCUUGUGCACUACCCCUUCGGAUGGUACGAGAAAGGUAAACGUGCAAGUCUCAUUUGGAUUAUAUAUCCGAGACAUGGGGUGGUUUAUUCCUAACACGGGAUCCCCUAAAUGGCAUUCCCUUUCUAUGGUUUAUGCAUGAUGCCAUUUAUUAAAGCGAUGUAAAUAUGUGACAAAUAUGGCCUAAAGGACAUAAAUAAUGCAUCGGGGGAAAGGUCUAAAAAUGAAAUGUAUUUAUUGAAAAUCAAGUGCAAUAACUGAAAUUUAAACAGGUGAGCUAUCUAGUGGGUAAGUCACUAAAAGAGUGCCGAAGAGGCCUCUUAUUGCUAAGGCAUAUGAAUGCAAGACAAGAAAACAAUGAAAUGGUUAGCACAAUUGAUAGUACACAUAACACAUUGGGAGCAAAUAAGAAAGGCAAUACAAUAAAACAAGUAAAAAGGGGUGGAACCCCUUCCCUCGUGCCUAAUGUGCUUAAAAGGGUGAGGUUGACUCUAACCUAGGCAAAUUCUAACAUGGAUGCAUGAGGCUGGGGCUCACUAAUGCAACUAGACUCGAUAAGUCUCGGCUCCCAAGCCUUCAGACCUAAAGGCGAAGGGUCAUCACUCCCAGGGCCCUCGGUCGGUGGCUCGAGUGAUCCCUUAGGUAGCGCUAUGGGCGCAGAGCACACCAGCCGCCUACCCAAGGCAAUCGAUCUUAAUCCUACAAGGCGGUGUGGGAAACGCCCACGAAAAACAAAAUAAAAUGGGAUAAAAGCAAGUAAACGUGCACGUAUGAAGUGUUCCCUAUUUUGAGGGAAAGGGGUGAGAACCACGCGAGGCUCUAAAGGUGACACACACCCCCCCCCAAAUGCAAUGCAAGCGCGAGAUACAUACAUCCAAUCAACCAAUCAUACACACGUGAGUGAGGGAAUAGUUUGAUACGUGCGCGAGGCGAAAAAGUCCUAAAAUAGAAAAUGCAACCCUAAUAUCCAAAUGCAAUGCAUAAAAAGGGUAGAAAAAGGAAACGAAUGGCUAAGUCAAAUGCUUGGACUCACUUAGGAAUUCCCCAGUGGAGUCGCCAACUGUCGCGCCCCACUUUUUGACGAGUUGAAUGUGUGAUGGUGAUGUGUGGUGUGUGGUGUGAACGUGUGCAAAAUGAAAAGUAAAAAGGCCAUGGGACUUUGGAAAGCGACGAUUUGGCCAAAUGAAAUUUUAAAAAGGGUUUUUAAAUAUGAAAAACGGAGUCGCCACUUGGUAUAGAUUUGGGGUGUACCAAGUCACCCAAAAAAAGUGUUUUUUAAAGACAAAGUAGUAAAACCCUUUUUAAAACGACUCCUAGUCCACGUAAGCCAAAGAAAAAGGUUCGGGGGUCAC
rnacentral:lncRNA from 1 species